rnacentral:tmRNA from 1 species
GGGGCUGACUUGGAUUUGACAGUAAGUUUACAGGUUGGUAAGCACGUCGAGCAAUGUAAUAAAACUCGUAAAACUUAAUUUCGGAACUUUUAAAUGGCGAAAAUAACAAUUACGCUCUUGCUGCGUAGAUUUACAAUGUAAAUCUCCUUAACUUCAAUUUAUAGGAAAUUGAAGCAAGAUGUUCUUCAGAUAAUUUUCUCUGUAAUUAUUUGUAUAAGAGCACCAUAUUUUAUAGAGAUAUAUCGUAUUUUUCCUUUAAAUACGAAAGAAAUUUUAGGAUAUCGUAAAAGAAUUUUUGCUUUUUUUAAAUUUUUACGAGAAAAUUAAAAAAAAAGAUAAGCGUGAAGAAAGCGAAUUGGUCGCUUAUUUGGACGAGGGUUCGAUUCCCUCCAGCUCCACAA